rnacentral:rRNA from 1 species
CUAAAGGGCUUGAGUAUGGGAGAGGGAAGUGGAAUUCCUGGUGUAGCGGUGAAAUGCGUAGAUAUCAGGAGGAACACCGGUGGCGAAGGCGACUUCCUGGACCAAUACUGACGCUAAAGCGCGAAGGCGUGGGUAGCAAACAGGAUUAGAUACCCUGGUAGUCCACGCAGUAAACGGUGAACACUAGGUGUAGCGGGUAUUGACCCCUGCUGUGCCGCAGCUAACGCAUUAAGUGUUCCGCCUGGGGAGUACGGUCGCAAGAUUGAAACUCAAAGGAAUUGACGGGGGCCCGCACAAGCGGAGGAACAUGUGGUUUAAUUCGAUGAUACGCGAGGAACCUUACCUGGGCUUAAAUGCAGAACGAUGUGCCGGGAAACUGGUAUUCCCUUCGGGGCGAACUGCAAGGUGCUGCAUGGCUGUCGUCAGCUCGUGCCGUGAGGUGUCGGGUUAAGUCCCAUAACGAGCGCAACCCCUAUCGUUAGUUGCCAGCGGAUAAUGCCGGGGACUCUAACGAAACUGCCAGUGUAAACUGUGAGGAAGGUGGGGAUGACGUCAAGUCAGCACGGCCCUUAUAUCCAGGGCUACACACGUGUUACAAUGGCCGGUACAGAGGGCAGCUACCUGGUGACAGGAUGCGAAUCUCGAAACCCGGUCCCAGUUCGGAUCGAAGUCUGCAACUCGACUUCGUGAAGGUGGAUUCGCUAGUAAUCGCGCAUCAGCCACGGCGCGGUGAAUACGUUCCCGGGCCUUGUACACACCGCCCGUCA